rnacentral:rRNA from 1 species
AGUCAGGCAACGAGCGAGACCCCUGCUUCUAGUUGCUACUUCUAUUCUUCGGAGUAGAGGGGCUAAUUAGAAGGACUGCCGCCGCUAAGGCGGAGGAAGGAGGGGGCUACGGCAGGUCAGUAUGCCCCGAAACCCUCGGGCCACACGCGGGCUGCAAUGGUAAGGACAAUAAGUUCCUAGUCCGAAAGGAGGAGGUAAUCUCCAAACCUUACCUCAGUUAUGAUUGAGGGCUGAAACUCGCCCUCAUGAAUAUGGAAUCCCUAGUAAUCGCGUGUCACUAUCGCGCGGUGAAUACGUCCCUGCUCCUUGCACA